UCUCGGGAAGUAGUUUUGUCCUAGCAGUAUCAAAGUGCUCAUAGUGCAGGUAGCUUUGAAUUGAACCUACUGUAAUGUGGGCACUUAUAGUACUGCUAGAUAAAGUGCAUCCCAGCUAGUG
rnacentral:pre_miRNA from 10 species